UAGACUGAAGCCAGUGUACUAGGGUAUUUAGCUGUUAACUAAAAUUUCGUGGGGGCGGAGCCCACCAGUCUAG
rnacentral:tRNA from 1 species